AUACGGAGGAUCCGAGCGUUAUCCGGAUUUAUUGGGUUUAAAGGGUGCGCAGGCGGGAGAUUAAGUCGGCGGUGAAAUUUUGCCGCUCAACUGUAAAAGUGCCUUCGAAACUGGUUUCCUUGAGUGUAGAUGAAGUAGGCGGAAUUUGUGGUGUAGCGGUGAAAUGUAUAGAUAUCACGAGGAACCCCGAUUGCGCAGGCAGCUUACUAAACUACUACUGACGCUCAGGCACGAAGGCGUGGGGAUCAAACAGGAUUAGAUACCCUGGUAGUCCACGCAGUAAACGAUGAUUACUAGCUGUUUGCGAUACAAUGUAAGCGGCUGAGCGAAAGCGUUAAGUAAUCCACCUGGGGAGUACGUUCGCAAGAAUGAAACUCAAAGGAAUUGACGGGG
rnacentral:rRNA from 1 species